CCUACGGGAGGCAGCAGUGGGGAAUAUUGCACAAUGGGCGAAACCCUGAUGCAGCGACGCCGCGUGAGUGAAGAAGUUUUUCGGUAUGUAAACCUCUUUCAGCAGGGAAGAAAAUGACGUUACCUGACUAAGAAGCCCCGGCUAACACCGGGCCAGCAGCCGCGGUAAGACUGAGGGUCCGGGCGUUAUCUGGUUUUAUUGGGCCUAACGUGAGCGUAGGCGGCUUGUCGAGCGUGCUGUGAAAUGUCCGGGCUCAACCCGGGACUUGCAGCGCGAACUGGCGUGCUUGAGUCCGCGGAAGGCAGGCGGAAUUCGAGGUGUAGCGGUGAAAUGCGUAGAUAUGUGGAAGAACCCCGGUUGCGAAGGCAGCUUGCUGGAGCGGAACUGACGCUGAUGCUCGAAAGCGUGGGUAGCGAACAGGAUUAGAUACCCGUGUAGUC
rnacentral:rRNA from 1 species